rnacentral:rRNA from 1 species
AGUGAACGCUGGCGGUAUGCCUAACACAUGCAAGUCGAACGGCAGCACAGUAAGAGCUUGCUCUUACGGGUGGCGAGUGGCGGACGGGUGAGGAAUACAUCGGAAUCUACUUUUUCGUGGGGGAUAACGUAGGGAAACUUACGCUAAUACCGCAUACGACCUACGGGUGAAAGCAGGGGAUCUUCGGACCUUGCGCGAUUGAAUGAGCCGAUGUCGGAUUAGCUAGUUGGCGGGGUAAAGGCCCACCAAGGCGACGAUCCGUAGCUGGUCUGAGAGGAUGAUCAGCCACACUGGAGCUGAGACAGGGUCCAGACUCCUGCGGGAGGCAGCAGUGGGGAAUAUUGGACAAUGGGCGCAAGCCUGAUCCAGCCAUACCGCGUGGGUGAAGAAGGCCUUCGGGUUGUAAAGCCCUUUUGUUGGGAAAGAAAAGCAGCAGGUUAAUACCCCGCUGUUCUGACGGUACCCAAAGAAUAAGCACCGGCUAACUUCGUG